GCCUGGGUAGCUCUGUCGGUUGAGCUUCUGACUCCUGAUUUCAGCUCAGGUCAUGAUCCCAGCAUCGUGGGAUCAAGUCCCACAUUGGGCU
rnacentral:tRNA from 1 species